rnacentral:rRNA from 1 species
UACGUAGGGGGCUAGCGUUGUCCGGAAUCAUUGGGCGUAAAGAGCGCGUAGGCGGCUAGAUAAGUCCGGUGUGAAAGUCACAGGCUCAACCUGUGAAUGCCGCUGGAAACUGUCUGGCUAGAGUCCGGAAGGGGCGAGUGGAAUUCCUGGUGUAGCGGUGAAAUGCGCAGAUAUCAGGAGGAACACCAAUGGCGAAGGCGGCGAUCUGGGUCGAUACUGACGCUGAGGUGCGAAAGCGUGGGGAGCAAACAGG